UGCUGGCGGCAUGCUUACACAUGCAAGUCGAACGGCAGCGCGGGGGCACCCUGGCGGCGAGUGGCGAACGGGUGAGUAAUAUAUCGGAACGUGCCCUAGAGUGGGGGAUAACUAGUCGAAAGACUAGCUAAUACCGCAUACGAUCUACGGAUGAAAGCGGGGGAUCGCAAGACCUCGCGCUCCUGGAGCGGCCGAUAUCUGAUUAGUUAGUUGGUGGGGUAAAAGCCUACCAAGGCGACGAUCAGUAGCUGGUCUGAGAGGACGACCAGCCACACUGGGACUGAGACACGGCCCAGACUCCUACGGGAGGCAGCAGUGGGGAAUUUUGGACAAUGGGGGCAACCCUGAUCCAGCAAUGCCGCGUGUGUGAAGAAGGCCUUCGGGUUGUAAAGCACUUUUGUUCGGGAAGAAAUCCCUUGGGCUAAUAUCCCGGGGGGAUGACGGUACCGGAAGAAUAAGCACCGGCUAACUACGUGCCAGCAGACGCGGUAAUACGUAGGGUGAGAGCGUUAAUUGGAAUUAUCGGGCGUUAAGCGUGCGCACGCGGUUGG
rnacentral:rRNA from 1 species